AUUGAACGCUGGCGGCAGGCCUAACACAUGCAAGUCGAACGAGUGGCGGACGGGUGAGUAAUGUCUGGGACACUGCCCGAUGGAGGGGGAUAACUACUGGAAACGGUAGCUAAUACCGCAUACCAUCGGAUGUGCCCAGAUGGGAUUAGCUAGUAGGUGGGGUAACGGCUCACCUAGGCGACGAUCCCUAGCUGGUCUUAGCGGAUGACCAGCCACACUGGAACUGAGACACGGUCCAGACACCUACGGGAUGCAGCAGUGGGGAAUAUGGCACAAUGGGCGCAAGCCUGAUAUAGCCAUGCCGCGUGUAUGAAGAAGGCCUUCGGGUUGUAAAGUACUUUCAGCGAGGAGGCGUGACUCGCAGAAGAAGCACCUGCUAACUCCGUGCCAGCAGCCGCGGUAAUAC
rnacentral:rRNA from 1 species